GACGAACGCUGGCGGCGUGCUUAACACAUGCAAGUCGAACGGAAAGGCCCUGCUUUUGUGGGGUGCUCGAGUGGCGCACGGGUGAGUAACACGUGAGUAACCUGCCCUUGACUUUGGGAUAACUUCAGGAAACUGGGGCUAAUACCGGAUAGGAGCUCCUGCUGCAUGGUGGGGGUUGGAAAGUUCCGGCGGUUGGGGAUGGAAUCGCGGCUUAUCAGCUUGUUGGGGGGGUAGUGGCUUCCCAAGGCUAUGACGGGUAGCCGGCAUGGGAGGGUGAACGGCCACAUUGGGACUGAGGUACGCCCCAGACGCCAACGGGAGGCAGCAGGGGGGAGUCUUACACAAUGGGCGGAAGCCUGAUGCAGCAACGCCGCGUGCGGGAUGACGGCCUUCGGGUGGUAAACCGCUUUCGCCGGAGACGAAGCGUGAGUGACGGUAAUGGGUAAAGAAGCCCCGGCUAACUACGUG
rnacentral:rRNA from 1 species